AACGCGAAGAACCUUACCUGGUCUUGACAUCCACAGAACUUUCCAGAGAUGGAUUGGUGCCUUCGGGAACUGUGAGACAGGUGCUGCAUGGCUGUCGUCAGCUCGUGUUGUGAAAUGUUGGGUUAAGUCCCGCAACGAGCGCAACCCUUAUCCUUUGUUGCCAGCGGUUAGGCCGGGAACUCAAAGGAGACUGCCAGUGAUAAACUGGAGGAAGGUGGGGAUGACGUCAAGUCAUCAUGGCCCUUACGACCAGGGCUACACACGUGCUACAAUGGCAUAUACAAAGAGAAGCGACCUCGCGAGAGCAAGCGGACCUCGUAAAGUAUGUCGUAGUCCGGAUUGGAGUCUGCAACUCGACUCCAUGAAGUCGGAAUCGCUAGUAAUCGUAGAUCAGAAUGCUACGGUGAAUACGUUCCCGGGUCUUGUACACACCG
rnacentral:rRNA from 1 species